rnacentral:rRNA from 1 species
CCUGGUGAUUGUUGCGAAGCGGAAACACCUGUUCCCAUCCCGAACACAGUAGUUAAGCGCUUCAGCGCCGAUGAUACUCCCUGUGGGGAAAGUAGGUCAUCGCCAGGG